UUGUUCCCGUCAGGAGGGAAGGAGUGCCAGCUGACGGAGGCGGAGCAGUAAAGCGACAGAAGGACACUGAAAAAUGUUCCGAACUUGUGGAGGAAAACUGUGGGAGAUGAAAGGUGAGAAGCGCGGCGUGGAGCAGACAGCAGGCAGCGGCUGGGAGCAGCAGCAGCAGCAGCAGCAGGAGGAGGAGGAGGAGGAGGAGGAGGAAGCGAAAAAUGGCGGCGCGCCAUUACUGAGUGAGAAACUUUUUGAAUGUAGAGAUUUGUGAAGGAAGUGUUGGGAAUGGUGACGAUGGCGGUGGUGGUGAUGGUGAUGGUGAAGUGAGUAUCCGAGUGUUGCGUCACAAUCACUUCCUUACGUACUUGUUUAGGGAAAAAAUGUAUACUCAUUCCUGUACUUCCAAAACAAAACAAAUUAGGAAUAAUAACAAUAAACUCACACAGAAACACAACAAUCAGUCCAAUCAUAUUAGGCUAAAUCUUAGAAUAAUAAUUACACUUAAGAUAAUUAAAAAAAAAAUUUGAGAAAACACUGAUAACUCGCCAUGAUUGAAGUGAAGCCUCACCGUUUCAAAGCGCGCGUCUUGAUGUCCCGUUUCGGUCUUUCAUGACGUCACGGAGCGGUGGUGGUGGUGGCUGGCUAGUGUGUUGUGUGGUGGUGGUGAUGGUGGUGGUGCGCGCUGGUCUGGAGUUAUUUCUCAGGAGAAACAGUCUUGAGAACCCGGCUAAUCAUCUCUGCGGCCUUUGAAAACAGUCGUGGUGGGAGAGCAAUGUGUUUCUGAAUACGGGCGAAAGUUUUGCCUCCUGGGAACACAAGUUUAGUAACAUGAUGCUCACUCGCAAACUGGUGAACGUGUUACCACCCUCCUUCGAGACGUGCUGUAAAGUGCCAGUGUUCUCGCCAAAAAUGCGUUCAUUAGUAAGAUUUUGGGAUGUUUAUGCAAUCCGGUGUGUUGUGGCUAAAGCUAAACGCGUUAUUCGUCAGCGGGUGGAUGAAGUGAUGUGGUUAAGUGUUGAAAAAGGUUACUACCACCUCAUUGUUAUUGCCUCCACGUUCUGAAGGUCCACACUACAGGGCAGCACGCGAGACAGCUCUUGCUACCAGAUCCCAACGCCGGCACACGAGACGAAUAGAAUCGCAGUACGUCUGAAAACCCUUAAUAUAUGAGUGUGUCUGGGAUUGAAGGAAGAGUAGCAAGCAAGAACGAAAGGGUGGUAAGCGAAGGAAACAAACCAUCGAAGUAGAGGAGACAAACCAUCGAAUUGCCCUUGCAGGUUUGAUGACGGAAUAACACUGCCUUCUAGCACUUAAACAGCCCUCGUUCUCUCCUUCGGCCGUUUCCCUGGAGUGGAACUGGCGCCAUGCACGAGUCUCCUCCAGGUGUUUCUGUCCCUUGCAUCUUCCUCUGUGCCUCCCAUCCUUUGCAGUUCUGUCACAAUUCUAUCACUCCAUCUCACUCUCUAUCUUCCCCUUGAUCUUCUUCCUUCGGCUGGUUUUAUCCACGCUCUAUCAAUCAGUUCCUGGUCUUCUCUUCUUACUGCGUGACCAAACCAUGUAAACACAGACUGACAGACAAGCAAACGCUGACAAAUGGAACACAUCAUUAACAUUUCGUAUCCUUUGACUGGCAGACCAGUGGACAGUCCAGAUGUGUUGCCACUUACAGAACGAGAACUACCUGACCUAACUACCUACCCAGCAGUGUGGAGGAAACCAUAUGCAUGCGUGAAAGUGCGCGGUGAAAGUAGGAAGAAACCGAUAAAUGUAGGAAGAAAGGCUGAUAAAAAAAAAGUGAAAAGGCCCAAUCAACAGUAGAAAAGGCCUAACAAAAGUAGAAAAGUCCAAUAAAACCAGACACGAUAAAAAAAAAAAAAAGCCCGAUAAAGUAGAGAAAAAGGCCGAUAAAAGUAAAAAUGCUUAAUAAAACGAGAAAAGAAACCGAUUAAAUUAAAAAAGACCAUCUGGUAAAAAAAAAAGUACAGAUUGUUUUUAUUCCUGUUUUCCUAAUAUUGUUCCCUUCCUAAAAAGAAAAAAAAAAAAAAGGAUGACGGACAUUUCACGAACAAAAUUAACCACCACCCGGGUGAUGAAGACACUGAAUAACGUGAAGGCAGGAACGUGACUUAGAUUCUGUACUGCAGUGUGAAGGCCAGCAAUGUUGAGUGUCGACUGUCUUCAUGUAACACUUAGGACACUCGUGGACGUAACUGAAUGAGCCAGGAGGGUGAGAGAGGGUGGCAGGCGUACUCUGAGGUGUGUUGAGACGCGGUGACGGAAGUGUUAAGGUGGCAGUGAAUGGAGGUGUGCAGGUAAGGUGAUGGCGAGGUGAGAAGUGGACUGUAUCAUGUGUUUAGGAUGUUAACAGUAAGCUUGGUGUGUGUGUGUGUGUGUGUGUGAUAAAUAUAAGAGGUAUGCGAUAGUUUAGAGACGGUGGGAGUGGAUGCUUCCUGCCCUGUGAGCGUGGCGGAGCGCGCUAAGCCGUGUGCCGCGGGGCGUGGGGCGC